CCUACGGGAGGCAGCAGUGAGGAAUAUUUGGUCAAUGGGCGAGAGCCUGAACCAGCCAAGUAGCGUGCAGGAUGACGGCCCUAUGGGUUGUAAACUGCUUUUAUAAGGGAAUAAAGUGAGUCUCGUGAGACUUUUUGCAUGUACCUUAUGAAUAAGGACCGGCUAAUUCCGUGCCAGCAG
rnacentral:rRNA from 1 species